rnacentral:tRNA from 1 species
GGCUCGUUAGCUCAGUAGGUUAGAGCACCGAUCUAAAGAUUGCUUGACAGUCGGGGGGCGAAGGUUCGAAUCCUUCACGAGUCG